ensembl:lncRNA
CCCUAUCACCCUGUUAAAACCCAAGCCUGGGUAGUACUCCUAGUGAGGUGACCGUGAGUCCUAGACUUGAAACAAGACAGCUCCAUGUGGAGCAAGGGCAAGUGUAUUCAGUGCAGUCUCACAGCCUGAAGACAGGGGUUUCACAAUGGAAACUAGAAAACUGAGGAGACCUACGUGAACACAGAAAAGGAGGUGGGAUGGAAAAGGUUUCUGUUGGCUGCCCAAGAAUUAAAUAGUCUUCAAGAUGCAUUAAUAUCACAUUGUAGGAGGAAAGUGGAAUGAUUCUAAUUUACACAGACAAUUCAAUACAGCCUGUCAGGGAGGGAUUUUAGGCAAGAUAGAAAAAUGAGAUAAUGGUGAAAGGGGAGAGAGAACAGAAUGAACCCUGAAUACUGUAGCUGUGAGACAAGGUUUGGAGAAGACACACUCUCCUUGCCAUGUGACCCAUCGGAGCUGACUUAGAGAGAUGAGGAUGGCAGGUGAGUUUGGAGGCCUCUUUAGGGGAAUUACAAAUGCCUCAUUUCUCCAACUGAAACAUCUGAAUUGCUCCCCAUCCCCCGCUAGAGGUGUCAGGAUGGGGCUUUGUGAUGUCAAGGCCCACCCAGGGCCACCAUUGGCUGGGCAGGAGACUUGCUGACCUCAUAAAGCAUGAGGGUGUGUCUCCCUGGGGAGGGGUAUAUAUAGCGGUGCUCAGGGGCUCUGGAGCAGACCACUGGGAGGCCUCAAAAUGACUAAGCGGACUGGGAAGCCCCAAGGCUCCAGAGUAGUUAGGAAACACCUGCCUCCUGUUACCCGGGGCAAAAGGAUGAAGACCUCCUCUCAAUUGAGGGCCAAAACAAAUGUCAAGGUGGCCAAGGCAAGUGCGAGAGUGAAUAAUCACCUACAGGCAAAGCUGACCAAGAAAACUUCUCAGAAACCGCCCACCACGAGGAACCUUAGAAAAAUCGGAGGCUCAAAACUCUGUAGCCAGGGUUCCAAGGUGAAUGAAGAGCUGAAUCAGAACGGACCAGAGGAGGUCCCAGAGAGUGUGGAGAUGCCUGUCAUUCCAGCGGGACCGGUGGGCAGCCAGUGACUUGAAGGUGGCCAAGGCAAGUGCGAGAGUGAAUAAUCACCUACAGGCAAAGCUGACCAAGAAAACUUCUCAGAAACCGCCCACCACGAGGAACCUUAGAAAAAUCGGAGGCUCAAAGCUCUGUAGCCAGGGUUCCAAGGUGAAUGAAGAGCUGAGUCAGAAUGGACCAGAGGAGGUCCCAGAGAGUGUGGAGAUGCCUGUCAUUCCAGCGGGACCGGUGGGCAGCCAGUGACUUGAAGGUAUGGCUAGAGACCUCAGAAAUCUUUGGGGGUCUUGCCACUGAGUACUGGCCAACAGUACAGACAUUGACUAUUAUACCAACUGCAUACAUUAAGAAUGAAAAUAAAAU